GUUGAGAUGGCCCAGUUGGUCUAAGGCGCCAGAUUAAGGUUCUAAUCCGAAAGGGCGUGGGUUCAAAUCCCACUCUCGACA
rnacentral:tRNA from 2 species